rnacentral:ncRNA from 1 species
CUGCUACAACGGCUUCCUGACGUGGCAGUUUAAUUCAUUGGAGCA